rnacentral:rRNA from 1 species
UACGUACGAGGCGAGCGUUAUCCGGAAUUACUGGGCGUAAAGCGCGCGCAGGCGGAGGGCUAAGUGAGGCGUGAAAUCUCCCGGCCUAACUGGGAGGGGUCGCCUCAUACUGGCGCUCUUGAGGACUGCAGAGGUGGGUGGAAUUCCUGGUGUAGUGGUGAAAUGCGUAGAGAUCAGGAGGAACACCGGUGGCGAAGGCGGCCCACUGGGCAGUCACUGACGCUGAGGCGCGAAAGCUCGGGGAGCGAACGGG